rnacentral:rRNA from 1 species
AAAUGAAUAGACGGGGACUUGCACAAGCGGUGGAUCAUGCGGCUCAAUUCGAUGAUAAACGAAAAACCUCACCAGGGUUUGAAACUCAACUGACCGCCUUAGGAAACUUUGGCUUUCGCAAGACAGUUGGGCAGGUGAUGCAUGGUCGUCGUCAGUUCGUGGCUUGAGUUGUUCCCUUCAGUGGGGUAACGAACGCAACCCGCGUUGCCUGUUUUACAAGUCAGGCGAGACUGCCCCCUCACGGGGGAGGAAGGUGCGGAUGACGCCAGAUCAGCAUGUCCCUCUGAUAUCCUGGGCUGCACGCAUGAUACAAUGGUCAUAACAACGGGUCGCGACGAGGUAACUCUGAGCUAAUCCUUAUAAAUAUGGCCCCAGUUCGGAUUGAGGUCUGCAACUCGACCUCAUGAAGCCGGAAUCGCUAGUAAUCGCGGGUCAGCUAUACCGCGGUGAAUACGUUCUCAAGUCUUGUACACACCGCCCGU